UACGUAGGUCCCGAGCGUUGUCCGGAUUUAUUGGGCGUAAAGCGAGCGCAGGUGGUUUAUUAAGUCUGGUGUAAAAGGCAGUGGCUCAACCAUUGUAUGCAUUGGAAACUGGUAGACUUGAGUGCAGGAGAGGAGAGUGGAAUUCCAUGUGUAGCGGUGAAAUGCGUAGAUAUAUGGAGGAACACCGGUGGCGAAAGCGGCUCUCUGGCCUGUAACUGACACUGGGGCUCGAAAGCGUGGGGAGCGAACAGG
rnacentral:rRNA from 1 species